GCAAAGCUGAACAAACUCUAAGAGAGUCUA
rnacentral:piRNA from 1 species